AGUUGAAGGAAUUGUUGCUCUGCUCCGGCCCUCCUCCCGCCGGCGGCCUUCCUCUCCCUCAUGUCCUUGUGCUUCUCUGGGUCGUCCUUGCUCCGGCGGCCUCGAACGGAUCAGACACGGCCAUCCCUGGUUGGACCCCACCUCGGGAAGAGAAGCUCACUGGCCUCCCGAUCCAAAAGGUCGAUUCAUCUAUCGGAAUACAAACAAUCUCGCUCUCCCGGUCUCCCCGCCUCCCCUUCUCUUAAUUACUCCAAUUUCACCCCUUCCCCUUCUCUCGCCCCUCCACUUGAUCUACUUAAACACAAAGCUCGACCUGGUUUUGCAACUUGCCCAACCAUGAAGUUUGUCCUCACCGUCCGCCCGUCCGUCGCCAACUAGGAUCGAAGCAACGACAACAGGAUUGGAUCCGGUGUACAUCAGUUGUACAUCAGUAAUCUGUCGUCUCCUAGAUAGUCCAGUCAUUUUACCUCUCCACGCAAUUGGAAACGAAUGAAUAGGCCCGUUUCGAUCUGUUCGACCAGGCAACCAAGCAGGCGGCUUCCUAUAGUAUCCUUCCGCUCAGGUUUUUCAUGGCCAUGGAGGUUUUGAUGCAGCAUCCUACAUGAAAAAACAUGCCAUGAGGUUGUUAUUUGAGGAUUCAGAGUUCCUAGAAGCAGUACGAGAUGUUUUUCUUCUUCUUCUGAAUCUGUCACGAACUCAAUCAACAGAGCUUUCGCAGUUGUUGGUUGCAAAUGUUGGGGAUUGCCGAGCAGUUCUAUGUAGGAAAGGCAUGUCUAUAGAGAUGUGGCAUGAUCCAAGGCCAACAUAUGAAGCAAAGAUAAUGCUCAUUUCACAUGGACAUAAGGUUGUAUAUAUUAUUAUUUUGCUUACAUAGUGUUUGAUUGCUAAUAGAUGUCUUUGCUUUUCUCAUGCUUUUCCAACAAUUACUAACAUGUAAUGUAAUGGCAUGAUGCGUAGCAAGACAUAAUUUUGUUUCCUUCACAAAUAAUCCUUUCCACUUUACUGCAUUUGUUGCCACUUACUAUGUGUUUAUUGUAUCAUUAUUUUCCUCUUUUAAUUUGGGACUAUGCUUUUCUGACAGUAUGCAAGUUUGCCAUUUACUCCAUUGAAGAGGGUAGUGUACAGUUUAUCGAAAAUCCAUCUCUGCACCUGAGCUCAUCUGCACCCGCGUUGACAAAAAAAUUCAAAACAAAUAAUAGAAAAAUUAAAAAAAAUCCAAUUUUUUUGUGUGAGAGACAAUUUCAUGCGUGAGAUCCGCUCCAAUUUUCAAAUCAUUUGGACAUCGAGGAGCUCUCAGCAAAAAUGACAAAUUGGGGGUCUAUAAAAAUAUUUACUGUUCAUGUACUGUUUUGGCCCGAUUUGUCUUUUUUGCUGAGAGCUGCUCAGAUGUCCAAUGACUUGAAAUUUUAAGCUGGCCUCAAGCAUCAAAUUGUCUACCGCACAAUUUCUUUUUGGAAUUUUUUGAUUUUGUUUUGAAUUUUUUACGAUUUUUUUCUAACCGGGUGCAGAUGAGCCUGGGCACCGAAACGCCCUACUCACAGUUUAUCUUCAUAUAAGAGCUGCAAUUUCAAGCCAUCUAUUGGUGUGCCUUUGCACUGUUUAUGAUAGGUAUAGAGGCAUCGGAAUUCAAAAUAUGCACAUCCUUAAAUAUGUUACGAUUUUUACCUGCUAUAUAUUUUCUUUGCAACACACAAAUAACGAAAUAUUGUUAAUUGAUUCACGAAAUUAUUUCUGUUGUGGCCAAUAAGUUAUUUCAUGCAGUUCAUAUUUUGUGCUUCUAUUUUCUCUGUUAAUCUUUUGACAAAUUGUUGUAAUACAUAUUGAUUUUGCAUUUUUAUACAUUUUUGCGUGCUGCAUACUGCCCAUUUUGAUUUGAAUAAGGUAUACAAAAUUACUAUUUUACCCAUCUAUUUGGUGACCUUUCAUCUAUGUGAUCCUGUAGUUUUUGCGUUCUUCAUGCAUUGGCAAAAUGCAGCAUGUUUAAUAUAUACACUUCAUCCUUUGGUGCCUUUUCUUGCACUUAUUUACAAUUAGCAAAAUGUUGCAACGGAGAUCAAUAUAUACAUUGGAUUGUUGCUUAA